rnacentral:rRNA from 1 species
CCUACGGGAGGCAGCAGUGGGGAAUAUUGGGCAAUGGGCGCAAGCCUGACCCAGCAACGCCGCGUGAAGGAAGAAGGCUUUCGGGUUGUAACCUUCUUUUGUCAGGGACGAAGCAAGUGACGGUACCUGACGAAUAAGCCGCGGCUAACUACGACCCAGCGGCCGCGGUAAUACGUAGGUGGCAAGCGUUAUCCGGAUUUACUGGGUGUAAAGGGCGUGUAGGCGGGACUGCAAGUCAGAUGGGAAAACCACGGGCUCAACCUGUGGCCUGCAUUUGACACUGUAGUUCUUGAGUACUGGAGAGGCAGACGGAAUGCCUAGUGUAGCGGUGAAAUGCGUAGAUAUUAGGGGGAACACCAGUGGCGAAGGCGGUCUGCUGGACAGCAACUGACGCUGAGGCGCGAAAGCGUGGGGAGCAAACAGGAUUAGAUACCCGUGUAGUC